GACGAACGCUGGCGGCGUGCUUAACACAUGCAAGUCGAACGGAAAGGCCCUGCUUUUGUGGGGUGCUCGAGUGGCGAACGGGUGAGUAACACGUGAGUAACCUGCCCUUGACUUUGGGAUAACUUCAGGAAACUGGGGCUAAUACCGGAUAGGAGCUCCUGCUGCAUGGUGGGGGUUGGAAAGUUUCGGCGGUUGGGGAUGGACUCGCGGCUUAUCAGCUUGUUGGUGGGGUAGUGGCUUACCAAGGCUUUGACGGGUAGCCGGCCUGAGAGGGUGACCGGCCACAUUGGGACUGAGAUACGGCCCAGACUCCUACGGGAGGCAGCGGGGGGGAAUAUUGCACAAUGGGCGGAAGCCUGAUGCAGCAACGCCGCGUGCGGGAUGACGGCCUUCGGUUUGUAAACCGCUUUCGCCUGUGACGAAGCGUGAGUGACGGUAAUGGGUAAAGAAGCACCGGCUAACUACGUG
rnacentral:rRNA from 1 species